ACUUCAAGAUGGAUUGGUCUCAUCUCUUUCUUCACUGAUUCCACAAACUCCAUAUCGAUUUUGUUGCCGGAAAUAUCUCUGACGUAAAAAGCGUUGAGCGAUUUCUGGCCUUGCGUCUCCACGUCUGCACGGACAACAGUCAAGCCGUUCUCACGGAGCACACGAGAUAUGUCAGAGAGUAAGCCUACUCUGUUCUCUGCGCAUAACUCCAACUUCACCCCCUGCAUAUUAGCCAUACACCACACACCCAAAUUGUUUACCAUUCUUAACUAGAAUCCAACAACUUGGUGAAUCUUCCUCUAAAAUUUCUUCUGUCUGAAGCAUUCCAAAGUUAGUAAUUCUGGAUUGAUCUCUCCUAGUUAACACAUAUAAAUGUUAACAAAGUUUUCUUUUUUUUUUUUACCUCGCAAACCCGACGUUCUAUAGCAGCUUCCAAGCAUUUGAUCACCCUUUCUUUCUCGCCUUCUGUGUUCAAUGCGCGUCCAUCUGCGUGUCUUAUGAAGUAUUCCUACAAGUUUUAAACCAAUACAUAAACAUCAAACCCUGAAAUUCUAAUAAUUUGAAGGAAGCUUUAUUCAUGGCCUACCUGAAAAGCAUCAGCUCCAUCGGACCUGAGAGCGGCGUGGAAGAUGACGUAUUGCAUAUCAAUCAACGUGCAGAUUGUAUCAAACAUGAGCCUUCUUCGAUCCUUGGACUUCACUGUCACAAUAGAGUAUCCUCUCUCUUCACAAUUCCCAAUCGAAACUCUUGUUGUCUUCCUCUCCUUCUGAUCACAGUACUCUAAUUUGGAAGACAGUAACGCCAAUGAAGAAGGCCCGUUAAAAGGUACGUCAAAGUCUCUAACAGAGAGCAUUAGCUGAUGCAAGCGUCUCUCCACGUUGGUAUUCAUACACCCUUUGCCUUGUCCCGCAAGAAAGCCAUCCAUCUCGUUCUCCUUGUGACCCACGUGCGUAGAGUUGGAGGCAGGAUCCGCUGUGGCACGGAUCACGGUACUGAGGUGGUCCUCAAUGGAAGCCAAGCGGCUUGGGUCAUCGAUGGGAGCGUGAGUAUUGUCGUCAGAGACAUAAGCAAUGCAAGCCAAGCGAGCGUUGUGGCUCCAAGCAUGAGCUUCUAGAACGUUGCAAUGUAAGUCCGCGAAAGCAGCGAAUAUCUCUGAGAAGAGGCCCGGUCGGUCUGUUCCAGUCAUCUCUAUCGCUGUGUGCUCGCCGUGAUCAAUCAAUGGAGGUUCCAAGGAUAUGUUGUUUGCAUUGUUAUUGGCUUUACUGGCCUUUACAGAUUCGGAUUCUCGCC
rnacentral:lncRNA from 1 species